GACGAACGCUGGCGGCGUGCUUAACACAUGCAAGUCUGGGGGCGGGGCAACCCGUCACCGGCGAACGGGUGCGGAACACGUGAGCGACCUGCCCUGUGUGUGGGGGAUAGCCGGCCCAACGGCCGGGUAAUACCGCAUACGUCCCGCGCUUGGAGGCGCUGGGAGAAAGCCCGGAAGGGCGCACGAGGAGGGGCUCGCGGCCUAUCAGCUAGUUGGGGGGGUAACGGCCCACCAAGGCGACGACGGGUAGCUGGUCUGAGAGGAUGGCCAGCCACAUUGGGACUGAGAGACGGCCCAGACUCCUACGGGAGGCAGCAGUGGGGAAUCUUGCGCAAUGGGCGAAAGCCUGACGCAGCGACGCCGCGUGGAGGAUGAGGCCCUUCGGGGUGUAAACUCCUGUUGCUCGGGACGAACGGCGGGCAUCGGCCCGCUUGACGGUACCGGGUGAGGAAGCACCGGCUAACUCUGUG
rnacentral:rRNA from 1 species